rnacentral:rRNA from 1 species
UACGUAGGGUCCGAGCGUUGUCCGGAAUUAUUGGGCGUAAAGGGCUCGUAGGCGGUUCGUCACGUCGGGAGUGAAAACUCGGAGCUUAACUCCGAGCCUGCUUCCGAUACGGGCAGACUAGAGGUAGGCAGGGGAGAGCGGAACUCCUGGUGUAGCGGUGGAAUGCGCAGAUAUCAGGAAGAACACCCGUGGCGCAAGCGGCCACCUGGCAGAGACCUGACGCUGAGGCACGAAAGCGUGGGGAGCGAACCGG